rnacentral:lncRNA from 1 species
GAAACAUCAUUGAAUCCUACAGCCACGCUAUGCCAAGUGACAUAACAAAAUUAGUAUCAAUACAAACAUGUAUAGUUAGGCAUCAUCGGUCGACUCGGACCUACCACAUAAUACAAAGUAGACAUUCAGAAGGAAACGUGCAAUAUAAUAGUUACAACUCCAAGCCUCUAUCCACCUGCUUCUACCAUCGUAGGUAUAAUGCUCAUAAACUAAUACACCUUUAUCCCAAUUUCGUACCUCCUUUUGCUGCUAACUUUACCAUGAAACAUUUGACCGUCUUACCAUUCUAAGGCUCCCUAAGCCUACAUGUUAUACCACCCUAGGGCUUCCUAAGCCUACAUGUUAUACCACCCUAGGGCUUCCUAAGCCUACAUGUUAUACCACCCUAGGGCUUCCUAAGCCUACAUGUUAUACCACCCUAGGGCUUCCUAAGCCUACAUGUUAUACCACCCUAGGGCUUCCUAAGCCUACAUGUUAUACCACCCUAGGGCUUCCUAAGCCUACAUGUUAUACCACCCUAGGGCUUCCUAAGCCUACAUGUUAUACCACCCUAGGGCUUCCUAAGCCUACAUGUUAUACCACCCUAGGGCUUCCUAAGCCUACAUGUUAUACCACCCUAGGGCUUCCUAAGCCUACAUGUUAUACCACCCUAGGGCUUCCUAAGCCUACAUGUUAUACCACCCUAGGGCUUCCUAAGCCUACAUGUUAUACCACCCUAGGGCUUCCUAAGCCUACAUGUUAUACCACCCUAGGGCUUCCUAAGCCUACAUGUUAUACCACCCUAGGGCUUCCUAAGCCUACAUGUUAUACCACCCUAGGGCUUCCUAAGCCUACAUGUUAUACCACCCUAGGGCUUCCUAAGCUUACUUGUUAUACCACCCCAAGGCUUCCCAAGCCUACCUGUUAUACCACCCUAAGGCUUCCCAAGCCUACCUGUCAUGCCACCCUAAGGCUUCCCAAGCCUACCUGUUAUACCAUCCUAAUACCAUCCUAAGGCUUUCCAAGCCUACCUGUUAUACCACCCUAAGGCUUCCCAAGCCUACCUCUUAUGGCACCCUCAUAUCAAAUCAUAACCUAAUCCUUCUAUCACAUAGAGAUUAGCGAAUACAAACCACCACUAGGCACUAACUUUUUUAACCGACCUACUACUCUCCUUCAAGUUCUCGUGCUAACACCCUGGCCCUUUCACACCAAUACCUGAAAUGGGCAUCCUAGACCUACUUGUCCCUCUUGACUUCAAACCCCAAUAUCAGAUUUAUUCUAAUCACUGAAUAACCAUAGCCAAUUUCAACACUUACACUAUGCACCAGAUCCUCAGUCAUCAGCCUGACCUAGUAACCACAAUUUCAUAAAACAAAUAACAUACCAUUAUAAUCACAAGUAUAACAUAGCCCAGACUCCCAAUCGUUACCUUGAGCUAACAUUCACGUGAAACAUGUCCCACAUGAUCACAUGCAACCUAUACCUAAGUCUCACUUAUUUUCCAAGUAACCAGGACCACUUUAGGAUCCCUAAAACAUUAUCCACAAUGUUUAACAUGCAAACCUGGUCUCUAGAACCAUCCCUACAUUUAAACACAAAUCUUGGGCACUCAUGG